GGGGAAAUAAGAAGAAGCUUGUACUUGUACUAAAAUGGCUUCAAAAACUGAAAUUACUCUCAAAAAAGAAGAGAUGCUCUCUGUGUGAAAGAAAAAUGAAAAUGAGAAAAGGUGGCAACACAAGAGAUGGAUAUCGCUGGGUGUGUCGAAGACAUAAUAGAUUCAUGUCCAAAUCCAUAAGAGAUGGGUCUAUUUUCUCAGGCUCUCGCUCCUCCUUGACUUCUUGGAUGAUGUUCAUGCAUAGGUUUGCACAAGGGCUAAGACUGAGGCAAGUGGACUUAAUUGAAGAGGGAGUCUGUGGAAGCAGCCGCACUUUGUCCAAGAUGUCCAAGACACUAAGGAGGGUGUGUGUGCAAGCAGUUAAGCACCUGAAGAGGAGGGGGAAAAUGAGAA